CCAACUACAAAGCAAUUCAUGAUAUUUUUUCCAUUAAACCAUAUGGUCACUUGUAUGCAAAUAGCUCUACUAUGUCACACAAUUCUGUUGCGCACUCACAUGACAAAGAAAUGAUAACGGCUCCUGAAUUCAUGCUUAACAGUAAACACAUGUCACACGCUUACACCUGGAUGUAACAAGAUCCUAACGAAGACUGCAGUAUAUAUAAGCUAGGCCUGUUUGUACUCGAUCACAUGACUUGUCUUAGCUAGGAUGCAGAAGUGAGUGUUCUAAGAGAAGUUUCGAAUUUACUGUAUGCACUAUUCCGUUUCUGUCAAUCUGUUUGAAAUAUUGGAGGAAAACAAAAGAUCAUGGUAAGAAUGUGAUUAUAUAUGUAUAGCUUCACUGAACAAAAUGUUGUCAAUUUCAGAGCCGAUUAGUGAUUUCUUACUGGCAUGUUACUUAUAGUUCUUCAAACCUCUUAUCUGAAAAAAAUUCCUUCUUUAAUCUUUACCAAAUGAAUUUACAACACUAGCUUGUGCUUGACUAUGGUUAAUGUUAUUCUUAUUACUACAGUCAACUUCCCUGCAGCUGCUCCCACCACCUCAGGGUUGGGAACUUAGUGACACAAUGCGGGUUCAGAAUCAUCAACAAUCUGACGCUUGCAAUGUGGCUGGCAGCCGUGUUAAUCUAGUUUCAGUCACUGCCGAUGUUACGAAAUGACAUCUAGCUAGAAGAAUCGACCGAGUGGAUGCUAGUGUAGAUGAAGCUCAAGAGACGAUUGAGCUGAAGGGACAAGGGUUGAUGAGGUUGGAACAUUCGUGCCACACACUUACCAUCUUCUUUUCUCUGGUUCUUGUGCAGUGUGAAGUGAAGCAAUGAUACAAAAUUAAUUUGUAUUUGUAGGUUACAGUCAUCCAUUUCCCAGGCAAAAAAGGAAAAAACAGUCAUGCAUUUGAAUUUGAGCACUUUCCAGACAGAAUUACAAGAGGUUGAUCAUACACUCCUGAUUAGGAACAAGUUCUAUUCACAAACAAGUUUGGAAGAACCAAAUUCGAAGACUAAGCACCCCAGAAUUCCGCUCCUGGUGGGUAUUAGGGGCUGAAGCACGAAGGAGCAGUAGUUCUCUAAAAUGCAGGACUUAAAAUAACCUAGAACUAUCCAGGUGCAGCCGUCAGUUAGAUGUGAAUCAUAUGACCCUGCAAUCCGUACGUUGUGGUUCACCCCUGCCAGGCAUCCAAAACAGGGGAUCUUAUUGUGAGUUUUGGCGAGUUCUCCGUCUGCUUCAUGUAUUUGUCCAGCUGAAUCUGGGGCUGCAAUCUUAAUCUAAUUUACCAUUAUAAUGAUUAUCUGAGCACUUAUGUAAAUUAGUAAAUUUGCUUAUUCCGAUGGAAAUCUUGAUUACCGAGGUUUCACUAUCACUGUCGUAGACUU